GAUGAACGCUAGCGGCAGGCCUAACACAUGCAAGUCGAGGGGUAGAACACUUCGGUGUUUGAGACCGGCGCACGGGUGCGUAACGCGUAUGCAAUCUACCUUGUACAGGGGAAUAGCCCAGAGAAAUUUGGAUUAAUGCCCCAUAGUAUAUAACCUUCGCAUGUUGGUUAUAUUAAAGUUCCAACGGUACAAGAUGAGCAUGCGUCCCAUUAGUUAGUUGGUAAGGUAACGGCUUACCAAGACGAUGAUGGGUAGGGGUCCUGAGAGGGAGAUCCCCCACACUGGUACUGAGACACGGACCAGACUCCUACGGGAGGCAGCAGUGAGGAAUAUUGGUCAAUGGGCGCAAGCCUGAACCAGCCAUGCCGCGUGCAGGAAGACGGUCCUAUGGAUUGUAAACUGCUUUUGUACAGGAAGAAACCCUCCCACGUGUGGGAGAUUGACGGUACUGUAGGAAUAAGGAUCGGCUAACUCCGUGCCAGCCGCCGCAGUAAGAC
rnacentral:rRNA from 1 species